rnacentral:rRNA from 1 species
GAUGAACGCUGGCGGCGUGCCUAAUACAUGCAAGUCGAGCGAACAGACGAUGAUCUUGCUCCUCUGACGUUAGCGGCAGACGGGUGAGUAACACGUGUAUAACCUACCUAUAAUACUGGUAUAACUUCGGGAAACCGGAUCUAAUACCGUAUAAUAUAUUGAACCGCGUUGUUCAAUAGUGAAAUACGGUUUUUCUGUCACUUAUAGAUGGAUCUGCGCCGCAUUGGCUAGUUGGUAAGGUAACGGCUUUCCAAGGCAACGAUGCGUAGCCGAACUGAGAGGGUGAUCGGCCACCCUGGAAGUGAGACACGCACCAGACUCCUACGGGAGGCAGCAGUAGGCAAUCUUACGCAACGGGCGAAAGCAUGACGGAGCAACGGCGAGUGAGUGAUGAAGGUCCCCGGAUCGUAAAACUCUGUUAUUAGGGAAGAACCACUGUGUCAGUAAAUAUGCACGUAUUGACGGUAACUAAUAAGAAAGCAACGGCUAACUACGUG